rnacentral:lncRNA from 1 species
UUGUGGCUGGGUGGAAAAGAGAGACCUAAGUGUGGCAGUGGAGUGACAGUCUGGGGCGAGAAUGGCAACCCAGGCAGGUGCUGCGCUAAGGAUGCACUGGACUCCCUAGCUCAUGGGCCAUUUAACCCUUUGUGGGCAUUGGACUGUAUGUACGGCCCAUCAGGGGAAGAACAUAGGCAGCGUCAGGAGCUCAGGCUUGGGGCCUUGCACUAUGUCUUGCAGUAAUGCCCAGGAUUGCUAUAGACUGAGCUGUAUGGGGUCAUCUGUACGUACACAGCAGUGUUGUGUCCCUUGCCCACUGGAGCACUAGGUGUGGUCAGUUAUGCACGGGUCUUUUUUUUUUUUUUUUUUGCCUCAGCCUCAGGCUGCCAGCCUGCCAUGUGGGUUUGAGGACUGCAGCAGGGCUCUAACUACUCAAGCUCCCGCAGCCCCACUCUGUAUAGCCCAGGCAGGUAGUUUCCGAACACCACCACCUGUGUGCUGAUCCUUGCGUUCCACGAAGCCCUUGGUCUGCCUAUCGUGUUGUGACCCACACUGCCAUGGCACAGGCUUAGGUUCCAGAUGAUCUAGCUGUGGCCACAAUGAGCCUCCGAAUCCCCUUGCUCCGUAGCUGUCCAUUGUGUGCAGUCCACGCAGUAUUGCAUGGACCACGUGGGUAGCUCAACCUGUGUGGCUGUGGCUUGUGUACCACGUGCUGCCCAGUGAUGGUGUCUGUAUCAGUAAUGUCCCAGCCCACGGGAGCUGCUGGGGCACAGGCCCACUCUCCGUGACUACCGGGCCUCCAUUAGUCCAGUGUGCUUGUUCUCAGAGGAAAAAAAAAAUAAAUGCUAGGACAG